rnacentral:rRNA from 1 species
GAUGAACGCUGGCGGCGUGCCUAAUACAUGCAAGUCGAGCGAACGGACGAGAAGCUUGCUUCUCUGAUGUUAGCGGCGGACGGGUGAGUAACACGUGGAUAACCUACCUAUAAGACUGGGAUAACUUCGGGAAACCGUAGCUAAUACCGGAUAAUAUUUUGAACCGCAUGGUUCAAAAGUGAAAGACGGUCUUGCCGUCACUUAUAGAUGGAUCCGCGCUGCAUUAGCUAGUUGGUAAGGUAACGGCUUACCAAGGCAACGAUGCAUAGCCGACCUGAGAGGGUGAUCGGCCACACUGGAACUGAGACACGGUCCAGACUCCUACGGGAGGCAGCAGUAGGGAAUCUUCCGCGAUGGGCGAGAGCCUGACGGAGCAACGCCGCGUGAGUGAUGAAGGUCUUCGGAUCGUAGAACUCUGUUAUUAGGGAAGAACAUAUGUGUAAGUAACUGUGCACAUCUUGACAGUACCUAAUCAGAAAGCCACGGCUAACUACGUG